GACGAACGCUGGCGGCGUGCUUAACACAUGCAAGUCGAACGGAAAGGCCUGCUUUCCCUUGUGGAUUGCGGGUGCUCGAGUGGCGAACGGGAGAGUAACACGUGAGUGAUCUGCCCCCAACUUGGGUAUAAGCCUGGGAAACUGGGUCUAAUUCCCGAUAGGACUGCAGGGUGGUGCCUGUGGUGGAAAACGAUUUUCUAGUGGUUGGGGAUGAGCUCGCGGCCUAUCAGCUUGUUGGUGGGGUAAUGGCCUACCAAGGCGGCGACGGGUAGCCGGCCUGAGAGGGUGGACGGCCACAUUGGGACUGAGAUGCGGCCCAGACUCCUACGGGAGGCAGCAGUGGGGAAUAUUGCACAAUGGGCGGAAGCCUGAUGCAGCGACGCCGCGUGGGGGAUGACGGCCUUCGGGUUGUAAACUCCUUUCGACCGCGAGGAAGCCACCUGGUUGGAAGGGUGGUGACGGUAGUGGUAGAAGAAGCACCGGCUAACUACGUG
rnacentral:rRNA from 1 species